CACCCACAGGCUAGCCCAACCAACCAAAUCCACCAAACCCCCUUCAAUAAACCCAAACACCCACCAAUACACAAGUAAAACAUUCUCCCUCCCUAGUAUAGGCGACAGAAAAGGAAAAAGGAGCUAUAGCACUAGUACCGCAAGGGAAGGCUGAAAGAGCAAUGAAACAACGCUAAAGUAAAGAACAGCAGAGCUUACCCCUCGUACCUUUUGCAUCAUGAGUUAGCUAGUAUACCCAAGCAAGGAGCACCAUAGCUUGAUACCCCGAAACUGGGUGAGCUACUCCAGGACAGCCUAUAUAGGGCAAACCCGUCUCUGUGGCAAAAGAGUGGGAAGAUCCUUGAGUAGAAGUGACAGACUUACCGAACUCAGUUAUAGCUGGUUGUCUGAGAGAUGGAUAUUAGUUCAGCCCUCCUCCUUUUUACCUCAUGGGCCACAGUGCUCUUAUGAUAAAAAGAAGGGGGAGGAGUUAGUCGAAGGGGGUUCAGCCCCUUUGAAAAAAGACACAACUUUUUAAGGAGGAUAAAGAUAGCAACCAAGGGCAGCGCUUCAGUGGGCCUGAAAGCAGCCAACUUAGCAGAAAGCGUUAAAGCUCAAGCGCAACAUAACCCAUAAAUCUCAUUAAAACUUUCUAAAGCCCCAUAAUUUAUCAGACCUUUCCACCCUGUGGAAGAGAACAUGCUAAUAUGAGUAACAAGAAGACACUACGAGCUUCUCCCCGCACACCCAUAAAUCGGAACGGACAACCCACCGAAUAUUAACGGACCCAAAACAUAGAGGGCCCUGGGAAACAGCAAAUGAACUGGAAGACCACCCACCCCCAACCCGUUGACCCCACACUGGCGUGCAUGAAGGAAAGACUAAAAGAGAGAGAAGGAACUCGGCAAACAAAUGAAGCCUCGCCUGUUUACCAAAAACAUCGCCUCUUGCUAACUACUUGUAGAAUAAGAGGUCUAGCCUGCCCAGUGACAAUAUGUUCAACGGCCGCAGUAUUUUGACUGUGCUAAGGUAGCGCAAUCACUUGUCUUUUAAAUGAAGACCUGUAUGAAAGGUAUGACGAGGGCUUGACUGUCUCCUCUCUCCGGUCAGUGAAAUUGAUCUCCCCGUGCAGAAGCGGGGAUUCAAGCAUAAGACGAGAAGACCCUGUGGAGCUUAAGACAACCGGGUAGCCCAUGUCAAGGAUCCCACCUAAGGGAAAGAACUAAUUGGACCCUGCCCUAGUGUCUUAGGUUGGGGCGACCAUGGGGAACACCCAACCCCCAUGAGGACCGGGAGCACUGCAGGGAAAAUCCCCCAGCCUUUGACCACCCUCCUAGAAACCCGGGCUCCGGCCCUAGUUCACGAAAAAUUCGACCUAUACUGAUCCGGCCCAAGCCGAUCAACGGACCAAGUUACCCCAGGGAUAACAGCGCUAUCCCCUCCCAGAGCUCAUAUCGACGAGGGGGUUUACGACCUCGAUGUUGGAUCAGGACAUCCUAAUGGUGCAACCGCUAUUAAGGGUUCGUUUGUUCAACGAUUAAAGUCCUACGUGAUCUGAGUUCAGACCGGAGUAAUCCAGGUCAGUUUCUAUCUAUGGAGACGCUUUUUUCUAGUACGAAAGGACCGAAGAAAGAGGGCCCAUGCUUCCCAGUACGCCCUACCCCCACCUGAUGAAAACAACUAAAUCAGGCAAGGAGGCGCAACCCUCCGCACUUAGAUAGUGU
rnacentral:rRNA from 1 species